CAGUCGAACGAAACUUCUUUAUCACCGAGUGCUUGCACUCACCGAUACAGAGUUGAGUGGCGAACGGGUGAGUAACACGUGGGCAACCUGCCCAAAAGAGGGGGAUAACACUUGGAAACAGGUGCUAAUACCGCAUAACCAUAGUUACCGCAUGGUAACUAUGUAAAAGGUGGCUAUACUACCGCUUUUGGAUGGGCCCGCGGCGCAUUAGCUAGUUGGUAGGGUAAAGGCUUACCAAGGCAAUGAUGCGUAGCCGAAUUGAGAGGUUGAUCGGCCACAUUGGGACUGAGACACGGCCCAAACUCCUACGGGAGGCAGCAGUAGGGAAUCUUCCACAAUGGGCGAAAGCCUGAUGGAGCAACGCCGCGUGGGUGAAGAAGGUCUUCGGAUCGUAAAACCCUGUUGUUAGAGAAGAAAGUGCGUGAGAGUAACUGUUCACGUUUCGACGGUAUCUAACCAGAAAGCCACGGCUAACUACGUGCCAGCAGCCGCGGUAAUACGUAGGUGGCAAGCGUUAUCCGGAUUUAUUGGGCGUAAAGGGAACGCAGGCGGUCUUUUAAGUCUGAUGUGAAAGCCUUCGGCUUAACCGGAGUAGUGCAUUGGAAACUGGGAGACUUGAGUGCAGAAGAGGAGAGUGGAACUCCAUGUGUAGCGGUGAAAUGCGUAGAUAUAUGGAAGAACACCAGUGGCGAAAGCGGCUCUCUGGUCUGUAACUGACGCUGAGGUUCGAAAGCGUGGGUAGCAAACAGGAUUAGAUACCCUGGUAGUCCACGCCGUAAACGAUGAAUGCUAAGUGUUGGAGGGUUUCCGCCCUUCAGUGCUGCAGCUAACGCA
rnacentral:rRNA from 1 species